rnacentral:rRNA from 1 species
AACGAACGCUGGCGGCGUGGAUAAGACAUGCAAGUCGAACGCUGAUUUCAGGGUAGCAAUAUUCUGAAGUCGGAGUGGCGCAAGGGUGCGUAACACGUGGGUAAUUUGCCGCGAAGUUGGGGAUAACUCGCUGAAAGGCGAGCUAAUACCGAAUGUGACUGCCGGAGGGCAUCCUCUGGUUUUCAAAGUUGGGGAUCGUAAGACCUGACGCUUCGCGAUAAGCCCGCGGCCAUCAGCUAGUUGGUGAGGUAACGGCUCACCAAGGCUAAGACGGGUAGCUGGUCUGAGAGGACGACCAGUCACACUGGAACUGAGACACGGUCCAGACACCUACGGGUGGCAGCAGUCGAGAAUUUUCCNCAAUGGGCGAAAGCCUGAAGGAGCGACGCCGCGUGGGGGAUGAAGGC